rnacentral:misc_RNA from 1 species
GAUGAAGAACGUAGCGAAAUGCGAUAAGUAAUGUGAAUUGCAGAAUUCAGUGAAUCAUCGAAUCUUUGAACGCACCUUGCGCUCCUUGGUAUUCCUUGGAGCAUGCCUGUUUGAGUAUCAUGAAAUCUUCAAAGUCAAACCUUUUGUUAAUUCAAUUGGUUCUGCUUUGGUAUUGGAGGAUUAUUGCAGCUUCACACCUGCUCCUCUUUGUGCAUUAGCUGGAUCUCAGUGUUAUGCUUGGUUCCACUCAGCGUGAUAAGUUAUCUAUCGCUGAGGACACCCUGUUAAAAAGGGGUGGCCAAGGUAAAUGCAGAUGAACCGCUUCUAAUAGUCCAUUGACUUGGACAAUAUCUAAUUUAUGAUCUGAUCUCAAAUCAGGUAGGACUACCCGCUGAACUUAAGCAUAUCAAUAAGCGGAGGA